GUGCUUGCUUCCGCAGCACAUAUACUAAAAUUGGAAUCACAUAAAAAAGAUUAAUGUGGUCCUUGUGCAAGGAUGACAUGCAAAUUUGUGAAGCGUUCCAUAAUUUU